AUCGAAACGGCGCUGAAUUGUGGACGCAGUUCCUUCACUUGCGCGAUAAAAAGCAGUAGCAAACCACAGAGAUGUGCCGACACGCACAUGCAAUAACGAAACGACGCAUGGCGGUCAU
rnacentral:lncRNA from 1 species